AACGCGUGGGUAACCUACCCUGUACACACGGAUAACAUACCGACAGGAAUGCUAAUAUGGGAUAAUAUAUUUUAGCGGCAUCUCUUAUAUCUCUUAGGUGCGCUAGUACAGGCUGGACCCGCGUCUGCUUAGCUAGUUGGUAAGGUAAUGGCUUACGAAGGCGAAAGUAGACGACCUGAGAGGGUGAUCGGCAACAUGGGAACUGAGACA
rnacentral:rRNA from 1 species